GAUGAACGCUGGCGGCGUGCUUAACACAUGCGAGUCGAACGGAAAGGCCCAAGCUUGCUUGGGUACUCGAGUGGCGAACGGGUGAGUAACACGUGGGUGAUCUGCCCUGCACUUCGGGAUAAGCCUGGGAAACUGGGUCUAAUACCGGAUAGGACCACAUUUUGGAUGGUGUGGUGGAAAGUUUUUCGGUGUGGGAUGAGCUCGCGGCCUAUCAGCUUGUUGGUGGGGUAAUGGCCUACCAAGGCGUCGACGGGUAGCCGGCCUGAGAGGGUGUACGGCCACAUUGGGACUGAGAUACGGCCCAGACUCCUACGGGAGGCAGCAGUGGGGAAUAUUGCACAAUGGGCGCAAGCCUGAUGCAGCGACGCCGCGUGGGGGAUGACGGCCUUCGGGUUGUAAACUCCUUUCGCUAGGGACGAAGCGUUAUGUGACGGUACCUGGAGAAGAAGCACCGGCUAACUACGUG
rnacentral:rRNA from 1 species